AUUGAACGCUGGCGGCAGGCCUAACACAUGCAAGUCGAGCGGAGCGGCGGACGGGUGAGUAAUACCUAGGAAUCUGCAUGGUAGUGGGGGAUAACGUACGGAAACGGGCGCUAAUAUCGCAUACUAUCAGAUGAGCGUAGGGCGGAGUAGCUAGUUGGUGGGGUAAAGGCCUAACAGGGUGACGAUCCGGAACUGGUCUGAGAGGAUGGUCAGUCAAACGGGAACUGAGACACGGUCCAGACUCCUACGGGAGGCAGCAGUGGGGAAUAUUGGACAAUGGGCGAAAGCCUGAUCCAGCCAUGCCGCGUGUGUGAAGAAGGUCUUCGGAUUGUAAAGCACUUUAAGUUGGGAGGCGUUACCAACAGAAUAAGCACCGGCUAACUUCGUGCCAGCAGCCGCGGUAAUUC
rnacentral:rRNA from 1 species